rnacentral:RNase_P_RNA from 1 species
UGAGUCGGCCGGGCGGCCGCGGCGCUCCACCGCAAGGUGGCAGGCGUCGAGGAAAGUCCGGACUCCACAGAGCAGCGGUGGUGGCCAACAGCCACCCACGGUGACGUGCGGGACAGUGCCACAGAGAUCAGACCGCCAGCGGCCUUCGCCUGAUCGUGGACGAGCACGCUCGCUCACGGCGACGGCGAAGGUGCGGGUAAGGGUGAAACGGUGAGGUAAGAGCUCACCAGCGCUCCGGGAGACCGGGGCGGCUAGGUAAACCCCACCGGGAGCAAGACCAAGAGGACACCGUUCCGUUUCGACGGAGCGGGGUCUGCGCUGACGGGCUGCUCGUCCAAUGUCAGCGGGUAGGUUGCACGAGGCGCACAGCGAUGUGCGUCCCAGAUGGAUGGUCGCCCGGGCCGGCGAUGUGAAUCGGUGGCCCGACAGGAUCCGGCUUACAGGCCGGCUCAUUCG